CUGCGGCCCACAGGAAACAAUCUUAGAAAGUGACAACAAGAAAUGGAGAAACUCAUGACCUACUACUGCAGUAACUAAAAAAGGUAUACUUUCAGGACAUCUACAUACAAGCGAUACUAACUCAAUGUAUACACUUUUUCAGCAGUGCAACUCAUGAGAAGAAAAAAUCAUCCAAGGAUUUGUUAUAUGUGAACUGGACAGAUGCUUCAAUUUCUUUUAUCCUCUUUUGAAUCAAUAAGAAAAGAGGAUGCCGAAACUGUUCUCCUCGGCCUCCUUCUAUUUCUUAGAUGGUUAAUUACUUCCUUGAUCUUUUUGUUAUACAUAUAUGUAACCGAGUAAGAUACUUUCAAAAUUGACUUUGUGCUUGGUGUCACACCUCAUGUAAAUGGUACAUAAAUACUCUUCAAAAAAUAUCACUUUCUAUGCACACACCACGGCCUGAUGCGUCGCGAUGCCACACCAUGCUCCGGCCGGGUCAUGACGAGCGACGCAUCGCUCAUGGGACUUCCUUCCCUUCGUUCUUACUAAUUCCUUUUUUUCUGAUCUAUUCGUGAUUCUAGGUUUUUCUAUCACCUCCAUCUUACUGAUUCCUUUUUGUUCGGCCAGGUGCUUGCCUAGGUUGUUGCGGUCUGAGGAUCCAUUCUAAGAGAUCAAUUUACAUUUGAUUUCUGCAUUUUUUGAACUGAAUUUUUACCACCAAGCAUAUCAAUCAAUACUAAAAUAAUAUUUUGCAGGGUAUAGGGAUCAAGCAACAUGGAAAAAUUUGUUCGAGUCGACUUCACUAUUAUUACCAGGAGGUACCUUCUAAAUGUUCAGCAAAUUCAUUUACCUAUUAUCACUUAUAAAUACACAAUUAGCUCACGGAAUUGAUAAUACUAGCUAUGAAUGCCCACUCUACUAUCAAAGGACAGUAAGUAAACACAUAUGUUUUUUUUACGACAAACACACGUUCUUAUUGGCUUACUGCACUUAUAUUUUAACUCGCUGAUUUUCUGCAGUGCAACCAAUCAAUGCUAGAUUCCCAUCUGUUAUAUAGUUACUUGCUAACAAAAUUAUUUGUUUCCCGCGUGAAAUAUACAAUAGGCUUAACUGAUGUUUCAGGGCAGCACAGUGGAAGGUUGCAUGCCAUCCAAUCAAAUAUAAUACAAGACACCAGAUCAUCCUUAUCGGAUCGAGAUUGGUCGACGCACAAAGGUCAUCGAAGCUAUUCCAGAGCCUUCAAACUUUAUUUUGUUGAAAUCAUUUCAUGUACUGCAGCCGUGCAGAGAGAAUAACACCGUUCUAUCAGAUGUGGCUGGACUGGUGGUAAUUGUUAAUGGAUGUCAUUUCAAAGACGAAUCGAGAGACACGGAGGCAUAUUCACUUAAAAGAUGUUUGGUAUAGGUAGCAAUGCUUCAGCAGGCCGUUAUGAACCUGCAUGCGUAAUGAUAGUGUACACAUUUGUUAAGCGGUAAACACAAGCAUGCUCCCUCUAGGUAUUGCAAGGUAUUAGUGAUGUUCUACAUAGAGGGCUACAGAGUACGGUUUGGGUUGUUGGUGCAAAUCACUAUCUGAAAAAAUACUUUGUUAUUCCUAACUUUGUACUUUCUUGCAAUUUUGCAUCGCCUACAAUGAUAUGCUGUCCUUAUAUCAGGACCUUAAAAGCAAGAAAAAAGAUCAGGUCAUGUCGGCAUAUGAUUCUCUCUUCAGUUUUCCAAUUUAUGAAUUUCUGCAAUUUUGAUGAUUCUUUUUUGCUCAGCUUUUAAAGAGCAUAACGAUUGCAACUACUACUUCUUCAGUAUUAAAUUUACAAGUUUCUAAAUUGUGUUCCGUUGAUAAGUUUCUAAAUUGUGUUCCGUUGAUUGGCAAGGAAGUGGACGCGGUGGGUUCUGUGAAGGGGUAGUUCAUGCUGGGUUUCAUGUUGCGGUGGUCCUCCUGUUGGUGAUCUCUUUCCUGAAUUCAUUGGUAUGCAAACUGUAUCUUUCCCCUCAAACUUUUUCCUCCUUCAAAGAAGUCUGGUGUCUGGAGAGAUCACUCAACCACAUACAUAGUUCGAUUCGUUUGGGUAAAUGCCGAAACUGCCAUAGUGUUCUACU